rnacentral:rRNA from 1 species
CCUACGGGAGGCAGCAGUGGGGAAUAUUGGGCAAUGGGCGCAAGCCUGACCCAGCAACGCCGCGUGAAGGAAGAAGGCUUUCGGGUUGUAAACUUCUUUUGUCAGGGAAGAGUAGAAGACGGUACCUGACGAAUAAGCCACGGCUAACUACGUGCCAGCAGCCGCGGUAAUACGUAGGUGGCAAGCGUUAUCCGGAUUUACUGGGUGUAAAGGGCGUGUAGGCGGGGACGCAAGUCAGAUGUGAAAACCACGGGCUCAACCUGUGGCCUGCAUUUGAAACUGUGUUUCUUGAGUACUGGAGAGGCAGACGGAAUUCCUAGUGUAGCGGUGAAAUGCGUAGAUAUUAGGAGGAACACCAGUGGCGAAGGCGGUCUGCUGGACAGCAACUGACGCUGAGGCGCGAAAGCGUGGGGAGCAAACAGGAUUAGAUACCCGUGUAGUC